UACGUAGGGUCCGAGCGUUGUCCGGAAUUACUGGGCGGAAAGAGCUCGUAGGUGGUUUGUCGCGUCGUCCGUGAAAACUCACAGCUCAACUGUGGGCGUGCGGGCGAUACGGGCAGACUGGAGUACUGCAGGGGAGACUGGAAUUCCUGGUGUAGCGGUGGAAUGCGCAGAUAUCAGGAGGAACACCGGUGGCGAAGGCGGGUCUCUGGGCAGUAACUGACGCUGAGGAGCGAAAGCGUGGGGAGCGAACAGG
rnacentral:rRNA from 1 species